UACGUAGGGGGCAAGCGUUGUCCGGAUUUAUUGGGCGUAAAGCGCGUGUAGGCGGCCAGGUAGGUCCGCUGUGAAAACCCGAGGCUCAACCUCGGGACGUCGGCGGAAACCAUUUGGCUAGAGUCCGGAAGAGGAGAGUGGAAUUCCCGGUGUAGAGGUGAAAUUCGUAGAUAUUGGGAAGAACACCGGUGGCGAAGGCGGCUAUCUGGACCGACAUUGACGCUGAGGCGCGAAAGCGUGGGGAGCAAACAGG
rnacentral:rRNA from 1 species